rnacentral:rRNA from 1 species
GACGGCGGGGUAUAGGCCCGCCGCGGUAACGACGGGUAACGGGGAAUCAGGGGUUCGAUUCCGGAGGAGGGAGCCCGAGAAACGGCUACCACUUCCAAGGAAGGCAGCAGGCGCGCAACUUACCCUAAUCUCGAUUCGAGGAGGUAGUGACAAGAAAUACCGAUGCGGGACCCUACGGGUGCCGCGUUCGGAAUGAGUACGAUUCGAACCACCUAACGAGGAACGAUCGGAGGGCAAGUCUGGUGCCAGCAGCCGCGGUAAUUCCAGCUCCAAUAGCGUACGUUAAAGUUGCUGCAGUUAAAAAGCUCGUAGUUGAACGUUCGGGUUCCGCGGGACGGGGCCGCCCCGCGAGGGACGGCGCCGCCCCGGGCUCGUGAUAUCUUAUCUCGCCGCCCGUCGCGAGGCGGACGGAGGGAUGGAUGAGGUUACCUGGAAAAAAUCGGGGCGAUCUAGGCGGGCGGAACCUCGCCAACGAACGAUCGGACAUGGGAU